rnacentral:lncRNA from 1 species
CCCCCCCCCCUCUUGAUGCUUGCAUGUAUUGUGUGUGCAUUGAUGGAUAGUUCAGACUAACGAAAACUCUUACCAAAUACUAAUUUUGUUUUGGGAACUUUUAAGAAAGAGUUAACAUACGACUCGAGUCCUUGAUAAAGGCAGUGCUAUCAAGCAUUCGUACCUGCUAUACGUCCUUAUCCUCCAUUCAUGCUUCACUUUUGCAAAAGCCUUGAGAAGAUGAUGAGGGAUUUCCCAUAUGACAUAAAUUGUGACUAUUAAUUUUUUUUAUAUGGAGAAAUUCUGGAGUCCUAUACAAAAUGGUCGUGUAUUCGGUGAUUGGGGAUAUUUAUUUAUACACUGUUGGGGAAGUGGCUACGGUGAUAUGCUAAUGAGGAAAGAGCGGUGUGGAGAAAGGUGAUUACUGUGUAAGUACGGUAACAACCAAUUUGGUUGGUUCUCAAAGGAUGUGACCACUUACUAUAGUUGAGCCUGUGGAGAGGCUUAAUGAAGGAGAAAUGAGACUUCUGAAAGUUUACUGGCUAUUCGUUGGGAACGGAAACAGAGUAUGGUUUUUGGCUUGAUAUAUGGUGCAGUGACAACAUACUGAGACAACUUUCCAAGAUCGUUUGCCUCUGGAAGUGAUGGCUGAAACGAUAUAAAAAUAACAAACAAACAAAAGAAAGCAACAAAGAGAUAUAAGUUAGACACAUAUUGAAAUUCAAAUAAGCAAUGCUUGGAAAUAAACCCAAAAUUACCUCCUAAUGGAAUCCAAUAAGAACCACAGCUAUCAGACACCCUCAAGUGGAAUGGGAUUCACAAGCAAUAUUCCAGGAAAGUUUUAAUCACAAUAAUCGAUAUCACACCUUUAAUCUUCACAGUGGAAUUCAUACAAAAUAACCAAGCUACUGAUAAUGGAUAAGAACCAGCUGCUUAAAGUAAGCUAAAAGACCCAAAAAAAAAAAAAAAAAAAUUGGCCAAAAGGGCUAGUACCAAAACCCUAACUAAAAAUAGCCUAUGUCUCUCCGGAUUCAUUAUUGCUGCGAUUUCUGUGGAGGUGCUGCGAUUGUAGCUCUUCUUCAGAAGCUAUUCAAGGAUUGGAAAUAUGCUGUUAUGCUGUGAUUGCAGCUUGGCCUCCUACACUUGCAGCCCUUAUUGAGUUUCUGUCCAGGACCUGAUGUAGUUGGAUUGCGAUCACAGCUCUUUUUUCCCCAAGCUGCCAAAAGCUGAUCUUUUCUCAUCUUUAAAGGCCUUCAUUCCUCUAGGGACCCGACCAUUCAGCUAGGAAACCACUGGAAGUGGAUUGUUGAUCCUUGGUUGCUACGAUUCCCUCCCAUUUGAAAAGAAUUAGUCCUUGAAUUCGAAUCUAGCAACAGGAGGAAGAUUCCUGAAUUAGUAAAUAUUCCCCCAAGGUUAAGAAUGCACCAAGUAAAAUUGACACAAGAUAAUGACCAUGCAUCCUUUUAACCCAAUCGUUCUAGAUGGAGUAGACACUCCUCUAAGCAACAUGUGCACAUCACAUCACAUCACAAGGAAUGUCAUAAUCUCCAAUAUAUCUGCAAAAUGCAUGCCUGAAAACAUGUUACUAAAUAAACCUUGCAAAAUGCUGAUAAUUGUAGGGGGAUCUUUCUGCUGUAGUAUGGAAGUUCUGGAAUUAGCUUAUCCUUUCAGUGCAUUGAUGAUCUAAUUUAGGAUGCUUUCUCCCUUUUUAAAAAUUCUUUUUCCCUUUCACUAGCUUUCUUAGCAUGUCGUGUCUGUACUUAUGCUUGUGUUUGUUUCUUAAUGAUAAUCUUCUACUUUGUAUCAGUGGUUGUUGGAUUCAUACAACACUCAAAUACUUAUCAUGGUGUUUCUGGCUAUAGUGUCUAUGUUACUUGCCGGUUUCCUUGCAUACCACACCAAACUGUGUGUCACAAAUACUACAACGAAUGAGGUAUUCCUUUUUUGUAUUUAAUUCAGUACAGUACAUAUCUCCAGUAGCUUAGGAUGAUUUUUUGGUUUUGCUGUGCAGUCUGACUUUUCUUCUCCUUCAUAGUACCUGCAUUUUCUUUAGAAGUAAGCUUUUGGAACUAUAUGUGUCUACUAACAAUGAACUUCUUGUCUUAUUACUCAAUUUUCUUUUUUUGAUAACUGAGAAAUCCACGAGAGCCAGUGGGGCACAGUUCGAAACUCGGUGCCACUUAAAUACCAGGUUUUUGUCUUUAGCAGGGUUCGAACCCAUGACGUGUAUCUAACCCACACAUCACAAGUUACGUUCUUACCACUAGCCCGAAUCCUUGGGGGCGUUGUAAUAUUAUUACUAUUACAUGGACAUUUUCACCUAGAAGGAAAUAUGGCUUCUGAUCUAUCACUGAACAAAGUUCAGGCCAGUUGGAGACCUUGAAAUCUCAAAAUAUUUCGGCAAACAAGAAAUAAGAAGUCUGCUCUUAUAAGGGGGAUCAAGUAAGUAAACACAAUUUUGACUGACCAACCUAAAAAUAACAAGUUUAAGGACCAGAGGAGCACUAUCUCUUGGUCUGAUAGCAAUCUCUCCUUUGUCUUAAUUUUGACUAGGCAUGAGAAAAAGAAAAGUAAAGAGAAGAAAGGAGGAAGAAGGGGAAACAUAAAAAGAAAAAAAGCAUUGGGACAUUCUAAAUCCUGAUGAUAUCCCCUAUUGAUUCAGCAUACCUCCAAAAUUUUAGGAGUCGAAACAGCGGCAGAAGCUGUUCUUAGCUCUCAUAAAGCUAAAUUUUGCUCGUGUGGACUGCAGACUUUCAAAUGGCAAGAAUAUUUAAACUGGAAGAGGAAAGUCAAUGAAGCAAAGGCAAGUGCAGCAGCUCUCAAAGCAAGUUUAGGUGAAUUGAACCAGGAAAUGACGCGCCCUGUGAGCAAAUGGAAGGCCUUCUUUCGGAGGUCCCAUCUGGAAGAAGUGGAGGUGGUUAAGAAUAACAUUUACGAUAAAGGACUACUCCAGAAUGUCUCUGAGAUUGUAAUUCCUCUUUCAACAAGACGUUCAUUCAUACAGAGGAAAUCAAAAUCAGGUUAGAAUUGUCAGUUGGUGACCCAUAUUCCAUUGGGGCUUGAUAGCUCAUCUUGGUCCAAGUCUUUAGUCUAAUGGUCAUAAACACCAAGGAGAAUGCUCUAAAUGUGAAGUACGCUCGAUUCUAUCAGAACCUAUUAUAAGUAUCGACAAGUCAUCUACCUUUACUCUUGGAUGGGCACGGUUAAUGCAGUUUAAUUGCCCGUGGUGAAAGGAUUGGACGGGUUCUGAGAAGGGGUUUAAGUGCCAGUAGUGGUGUUUGCUUCCUUUUAUUUGCUGCGGCUGCAGCUGUUGAAGGGAAGGGCUUACUGUUCUUUUUGGUGCAUUCUGAUUCCUACUGGUGUAGCCUGGGUUUCUUCUCAUUUCUAGGAUAAAUUUCAAUCCUACUUUAUUUAACUUUUUAUAGCUCUUCGCUGCUUAGCAGCAAAUUUUUACUUGUACUAUGUAAUACGACGAGAAUGAGUACCUGGUAUAUGUUGCAAUCCAAUGUCUCAUGUUUCCACCAGCUGUGGAACUGGAACUCUGUAGAAUUCAAAUAAAUUUUGUGCUAAUGUAGCGGAAAAAGAGAGAAUGUUACCCAGCAGCUUAAUAUUUCUUUUAGUUAUAAUGUAAAUUUCAUUGAUGCCUGGAGAAACUCUUGUAUGCAAAAAGCAGGGAACUUACAUUAAAAUGUGGUUCUCUAAAAAAAGGCUCCCAAUCUUCUAUCCAAACUGAAACAGGGACUGCAUGGAUGUACCCCCAAAAAAAAAAAAAAUUAAGGAAAAACGAAACUGGAAAAGAGGAUAUUCUUC